UUAAUAAAUGUCAAGUCAGUGUUCAGUGUGUGACUGGCAGGGAUUUCUGUUGUAAAUUACAACUUUUCGAUGCUUUUCAUUAUUAUAUUUUCAUUUUCUUGUGCAUUUACUUUCUUUUAGGAAGUUGUAGGGGGUGAAGUUUGAGCCACUGCAUUAUCAGCUGGUAAGAUAAAGAUGAUAAAGAUUUCAUUGUUAUAGCAUUCGCUAUUUUUGUCACACAGCUACGUAGUCUGACCAGUCCAUCGCAAACCGGUCUGAAGACGUGCGAACUGUUCAAGAAACAGAAAGAAGAGUCAAUCUUGAGCAUAAUUCUAAAUUCAAGAAAGACGGCUGCAGAACUCAGGGACUAAUUGUCCACAGAUGUGUAGCUGCACUGGACUGAAGACCCAGAGUUUCACACACUCCAGUCUCCUGGCCUAAUCAGGUUAGGAUUUUCUUCUAAAUUAGGGCUUAGUUUGGUUUCCUCAUAUGGAGUAAUAUUCAAGUUUAACAGUCUGUAUAAUCGUAAUGGUUUGAAUAAUACAUCAUACUUUCUUGAAAGCUUUCUCCACUGAUAAAACUGA